rnacentral:rRNA from 1 species
AUCGAACGCUGGCGGCAGGCUUAACACAUGCAAGUCGAACGGAGUGGCGGACGGGUGUGUAAUGCCUAGGAAUCUGCCUGGUAGUGGGGGAUAACGUCCGGAAACGGGCGCUAACACCGCAUACUAUCAGAUGAGCCUAGGUCGGAUUAGCUAGUGGGUGGGGUAAAGGCCUACGAAGGCGAAGACCCGUAGAUGGUCUGAGAGGAUGAUCAGGCACACUGGAACUGAGAGAGUGUCCCGACUCCUACGGGAGGCAGGAGUGGGAAAUAUUGGACAAUGGGCGAAAGCCUGGUCCAGCCAAGCCGCGUGUGUGAAGAAGGUCUUCGGAUUGUAAAGCACUUUAAGUUGGGAGGCGUUACCGACAGAAUAAGCACCGGCUAACUUCGUGCCAGCAGCCGCGGUAAUAC